AACGAACGCUGGCGGCAUGCCUAACACAUGCAAGUCGAACGAGACCUUCGGGUCUAGUGGCGCACGGGUGCGUAACGCGUGGGAACCUGCCCUUAGGUUCGGAAUAACUCCCCGAAAGGGGUGCUAAUACCGGAUAAUGUCUUCGGACCAAAGAUUUAUCGCCUUUGGAUGGGCCCGCGUUGGAUUAGCUAGUUGGUAGGGUAAAAGCCUACCAAGGCGACGAUCCAUAGCUGGUCUGAGAGGAUGAUCCGCCACACUGGGACUGAGACACGGCCCAGACUCCUACGGGAGGCAGGAGUGGGGAAUAUUGGACAAUGGGCGAAAGCCUGAUCCAGCAAUGCCGCGUGAGUGAUGAAGGCCUUAGGGUUGUAAAGCUCUUUUACCCGGGAUGAUAAUGACAGUACCGGGAGAAUAAGCUCCGGCUAACUCCGUG
rnacentral:rRNA from 1 species